rnacentral:lncRNA from 1 species
GCUGGAUUGCUGAUUGUCGUCCUUGUCGCUUGAAGACGGUGAGGACUUGGGAGAGCUGGAGUCAACGAGGCAGAAAACACGGCAGUCGCGCCCCACGGCAUCGUCGGGGAAGUUGAAGUGGUGAUUGCUCUGGCGCAGGGGACUGAGUUGUGAGAGAGAGAGACUUGGGCCUCUUCAUGGGCCUAUUGGGCAUGGGAUCCGGCGACUGUGAAAUGGAGGAAGGCUUGGGCCUUGUUUUUGUUUUUUUUUUGUACAAAGAAUAUUGUUUAUAUUUGUAAUAAAAUUGGCUCUCAAUAGUCAAACAUUUAAUAAAACCUUAUUUUUUAUUUUGAUGUGACUGAACUCGAAAUUCAAUGUUCGAGCUGCCUACGUACCCCUCCAAAGAAGAGAUCAAGUCAUAACGUAGUUCAAAUACAUUUUUUUUCUUGGUAUUUUCUUUUGGUGCCGUUUGCAGUUUCAACUCGUGCAGGCAAGGAACAGUUGGUGUCUCCUUUUAUGCUCGUGCAAACCAGAAGCUUAGUGCCAUGCAGUUUAGGCUCGUGUAGGCGAGGAGCCUUGGUGUCGCCUUUUAUGCUUGUGCGAACCAGGAGCUUUGGUGUCCUUCAAUUUAGGCUCUUGCGAACAAGGAGCAUUGGUGUUGCCUUUUAUGCUCGUGCAGACCAAGAGCUUUGUGUCAUGCAGUUUAGACUCAUGUGGGCGAGGAGAAUUUUGGUGCCAUUUGCAGUUUCAACUCGUGCAGGCAAGGAGCGUUUGUUGUCGCCUUUUAUGCUCGUGCAGACCAGGAGCGUUUGGUGGUUGGUCAAUCGAUCCGGGAGAGUUGUUCCUCAUAAUCUUCAUAGCAAGGAGCCUUGACUGAGUAGUUGAAGAAGUCUUCUGGGAAGAGGUCAUGCAUUGUGAUGGGGAUGGAUGAUCUUCGUGUCAAAGUUUCAUUAUCUCCAACACUUUCACAUUGUUCUGGAGAUUGAUAGGAGCUGCUUUGCCCCCUUUCCCAUUGGUGAACUUGUGGAAGAGAUGGUUGCUGCCUGGAGAGGUGUUCUUCGCAAUCUUUAUAGCAAGAAGCCUUGACCGAGUAGCUGCAUAAUUUUCUGAGGAAGAAGAAAUCGCGCAUGGUCAAUGUUUGUGUCAAAAUUUCCUC